rnacentral:rRNA from 1 species
CCUACGGGUGGCAGCAGUGGGGAAUUUUGGACAAUGGGCGCAAGCCUGAUCCAGCUAUGCCGCGUGUGGGAAGACGGCCUUCGGGUUGUAAACCACUUUUGUAGAGAACGCAAAGUCUGUUGAUAAUCCCGAUAGAUUAUGACGGUACUCUAAGAAUACGCACCGGCUAACUACGUGCCAGCAGCCGCGGUAAUACGUAUGGUGCGAGCGUUAAUCGGAAUUACUGGGCGUAAAGGGUGUGCAGGCGGUUUUGCAAGAUGGAUGUGAAAGCCCCGGGCUCAACCUGGGAAAGGCAUACAUGACUGCAAGACUAGAGUGCGUCAGAGGGGGGUGGAAGUCCAAGUGUAGCAGUGAAAUGCGUAGAGAUUUGGAAGAACACCGAUGGCGAAGGCAGCCCCCUGGGACGCAACUGACGCUCAUACACGAAAGCGUGGGGAGCAAACAGGAUUAGAUACCCUAGUAGUC